GAUGAAGAACGCAGCGAAAUGCGAUAAGUAAUGUGAAUUGCAGAAUUCAGUGAAUCAUCGAAUCUUUGAACGCACAUUGCGCCCCCUGGUAUUCCGGGGGGCAUGCCUGUUCGAGCGUCAUUUCACCACUCAAGCCUCGCUUGGUAUUGGGCAACGCGGUCCGCCGCGUGCCUCAAAUCGACCGGCUGGGUCUUCUGUCCCCUAAGCGUUGUGGAAACUAUUCGCUAAAGGGUGUUCGGGAGGCUACGCCGUAAAACAACCCCAUUUCUAAGGUUGACCUCGGAUCAGGUAAGGAUACCCGCUGAACUUAAGCAUAUCAAUAAGCGGAGGA
rnacentral:misc_RNA from 1 species